UUCUCCUCAGACUCACUCACACACCAACAGCUGCUUAUUUAUUUCCACUUUAAUAACGCACGGUCCUUUUUACGCACAAAGUUUAUACCUCACCUUUUUUUAUAGACCUUUGGUUUAUUAUGCUUUAAAUAAACACCAAUAGAGGGAGCGCGUCUUUAUUUUAGGGCACGUGUCUGUCUCGGUACUUUAACGCGACAUAUAAAUCAGACAUCUCGCUGCAUACAUAAGUAAUAAGAAAGACCCUCUGCUCUUUGUGCACAAUGGCCACGUCUGCCCGUGCUUGGAUAUGCCUGUCUUUUCUUCUUUUUUCUCUUUUUUUUUCUGUUUGAAAGGCAAAUUGACCUCUUAACUGUGAAACGGGACUCGGGGCCAAUCUGGCCCACAGCUCGGCGCGUGCUGAGCGGAAUCAGUGCUGCACACAAAGAAGGAAGAAGGCCGCAGAGAAACUGCACACAUCAACAAAACAGCUUACAUUUAAACGGGGACAGAGAUCCUGAGAGGCUGCAGAGCACAAAGUGACCAAAGACGACGAAGCGAUGGAAACUCACAACAGAUUCUCCUCGUGUAUCAAUCACUUCAUAUCAAGUACUGAAUCCAACACUUACUGACUUUAAUAUCUUGUUUUGCAAAAAGAUUGCAAACUGCCAGUUUGUGUUGUAUCCAAGUCUAUAUUUUUACUUCAGAGUACAAUAAAGUCUCUAUCGUCAAAGUAU